CGCCGCCGCAGCUCGCGCAGCCGCCCCUCCCUCGGCCGCACGCCGGGCCGCCGCUCCCCUCCCGUCCCGUCCCUCCCCGCGCGCAGCGAGCCGGAGGCUUCUUUAACCAGCCAUGGCAGACGGAGCGAGGUGUGCAGACGGUCGGUCGGCGGCGUUCGCGGCUUCCUCACGGUCGCGUCCCUCCCUCCCCUUCCCCCCUAGGCUCCGCCUCCCUGCCGCCUCCAGCAGCUGAUCCCCAGCUGCGGUCGCGCUUCCGCGGUGCGGGGCUCUUCCGCCGGCCGCCGGGCCGGAGAACGCGGGCGCCAGCUGCCCCUCCCCCGCGGACGGCUGCCCGGAGAUGGCGGGCGGCGGCUUGCAGCGGCCGCUGACCGCGCCGAACCACGGUUGGCUCAGGAUGGCGGCGACGGGGCACCCCCGGCACGCCGCACUCUGAAGUUGGACACGCGUAACAAUCAGAGUGGCAGCCGGCCUGCGGGCUCACCCUCCUUCCCUGGAGGGACAGCGGCUCGCCCAGCGCUGCUCGCCGCCUCCUGGGGCGCCCAGUUCCCUGUUCAAGUGAGGGAACCCACGAUUGGACUGGACGUCUGGAAGGAGGGUGAGGCCAAAGGUCUUGAGAAUGGAGGCCUGGAGAUGCACAGCUGUUAACCAGCAGCCACAGUAUAGUCCAGAAGUAGCUGCCUUUCAAUAGUGCAGGAGUCCUCAGUUGAGUUGACCUCAGUGAGGAAACUGGGUAAGUGCACUGGAAUUUUACCAGGUAAAGUUGAAAGUCCCCUUUUCAAUGGAGUGCUUUUCCAGGAAACUAUCCUCUACCAUUAGUGGUAAUUAACUAACCUGAAAUAGGCAGGUGUCAGGUUUGCCCUUUCAGUUUAACAAGAAUUACAUCCUCAGGACCAGAGAUGGCACAGGAGUGGUUAAAUACAACCAUAGGUGAAAGAUGAACUAAAGAAAUUCUUAAGAUGGGGAAUGAGGAAGAGGUUCACCUGUCAAGCAAAAUUAUUUUUUUUGCAAGUAGUUAAUUCAAAAGUUCAUAUAACAACAUUCUAAAUUUACUAGAAGGUCACCAAACCCAAAAAUGAGAAUUCAAAUGGAAUAUUAUCCUUUAAAUAAGAAAAUGAGUAAUGCUUAAAAAAUAAUCCUGUGCACACUGUGGUUUGUGCAUAUAAUCCAAGGACUUGGGAAGUGGAGGUGGGAGAAUCAAGAGUUCAAGGUCAGCCAAUAGGCUAUAAGAGACCCUGAUCUCAAAUAACAGUAGCUGAGUAGUAGCGGCUCAUACCGGCGCAUACCUUUAAUCCAACAAGAAGAGGCAGGCAAGUCUCUUGAGUCUACCGAGCAAGUUCCAGGACAGCCAGAACUACACAGAGAAUCCCUG
rnacentral:lncRNA from 1 species